AUUGAACGCUGGCGGCAGGCCUAACACAUGCAGUCGAGCGGAUGAGAAGAGCUUGCUCUUCGAUUCAGCGGCGGACGGGUGAGUAAUGCCUAGGAAUCUGCCUGGUAGUGGGGGACAACGUUUCGAAAGGAACGCUAAUACCGCAUACGUCCUACGGGAGAAAGCAGGGGACCUUCGGGCCUUGCGCUAUCAGAUGAGCCUAGGUCGGAUUAGCUAGUUGGUGAGGUAAUGGCUCACCAAGGCGACGAUCCGUAACUGGUCUGAGAGGAUGAUCAGUCACACUGGAACUGAGACACGGUCCAGACUCCUACGGGAGGCAGCAGUGGGGAAUAUUGGACAAUGGGCGAAAGCCUGAUCCAGCCAUGCCGCGUGUGUGAAGAAGGUCUUCGGAUUGUAAAGCACUUUAAGUUGGGAGGAAGGGCAGUAAGUUAAUACCUUGCUGUUUUGACGUUACCGACAGAAUAAGCACCGGCUAACUCUGUGCCAGCCGCCGCAGUAAUAC
rnacentral:rRNA from 1 species